rnacentral:lncRNA from 1 species
CCUGGAACUCACUAUGUAGUCCAGGCUGGUCUGGAACUCACAGUGAUCCUCCUGCCUCAGCCUCCCGAGUGCUGGGAUUACAGGCGUGCGCCACCACGCCCGGCAUUUGUUGCUAUUUGAUUUCUUGACGAUGACCAUUCAUUAUGGAGCAAGAUGUAACCUCAGUGUUGUUUUGGUUUGCAUUUCCGUAACAGCCAGCAAAGUGAAACAUUUUUUUCCACGAAUGUGGGCCUUCCUCAAGUGCAGCUUUGAAUAACGCCACAAGAGGGCGGUGCUGCACCGCGCAAGACACUGCUUCGGCAAAAGGCCUUGGUUUCUACUCUCAGGAUUUGAGGAUCACAGUCCUCCAACUCGAGAGCUCACGAAGAAGAGAAUGCAAGUGCCAGGCUCCGGACAGUGGCACUAAGGAAGCGAGCACUUCCUGCUCCUCGGGGAGAACCGUGCUCCUUGGCUUAGUAGGAACAGGCCUGCUAAGGCUCUGCUGGAAAGGGGGCCGGAAGUGUGGAAGGAUCGCAAACCCGGCGGCCCACGCACUGCCCAGUGCACCGGUCCUGUACUCCAGACUCUGCAGGCCUUGGCCCAGAUGUGCCAUCGCGGGACACGGACACACAGGCUUUGGAUGUGGACCGGAUGGUUCUUUACAAAAUGAAGAAAUCGGUGAAAGCAAUAAACAUCUCUGGGCUGGCGCACGUGGAAAAUGAGGAGCAGUACACCCAGGCCCUGGAGAAGUUUGGUGGCAACUGUGUGUGCAGAGAUGACCCAGAUUUAGGGAGUGCGUUCCUGAAGUUCUCCGUGUUCACCAAGGAGUUGACAGCGCUGUUCAAAAAUCUGGUCAGUGUCGUGUGUGUGUGUGUGUGUGUGUGUGUGUGUGUGUUCACAUGUGUGUGUGCAGUUAGUUAUACCACACAAGACACUUCUGUCACUGCCUUUCUUGGGAGAGAAUAAAUAGUUUGUUUAAUAAACUAGGAAAACAUUUCACAGCUCCCGUGGACCCUAUUUUUUGUAUACAUGGUAUUGAUUUGGAAUAAAGUGGAAAGUUGUAAUCUUUGCUCUAACAGGACU